rnacentral:lncRNA from 1 species
AUGCAUUCAACUGAAAUGUCUCUUCCGCAAAAACCCAACCCUUCUGAAUCAGAGUACAGUGGCAAAUUGGCAAGAGACACACAGAAACCUUCUUGCCCUUCCUUGAGAAGUCAAUUUAGAGAGUCGGAGAGAUAUGGCCUCACCAAAGACAGUUUGGUACUUAAGUGUCCUCUUGGUAUUUUGCUCUAGUCUGGAAAAACAAGAUUGCUUGGAAACUCCAAAUGUAACAUCAGAGGUAAGAGGCCAGUAAAUAUGGACUUAAACUAAAAACAAAUGUUCACAAGGCAAUAUUUAGCAAUGUCAGAGAAAUACAAUAUUGUUUGAGCUACAUAUCUUUAGGUGUAUCACUAUUAAUAUAAUAUGUUUCAAAACAGAUUUGUUUGUUCGUUCCAUUGGUGCAACUACAGCAUGUAUACAUUAUAAUUACACAAACAGCACAGUUGUGUAACUGUAUCCACAUUGUAAUAACACUGCACAUCCCUGUGUAUCUACCAUGCCAAUACAUAGGUCUCAGUUGUAAAUGAGAACUUUUUCUCAACUGGCCUACCUGAUUAAAAAAAGGUUAAAUAAAAACAUAUAGGGGAAUUUUCUGAGUGUUAAAACACAUACUUCAUUUGACGCAAUAAUACAAAUCCAUUUUUUUUUAUUAAAUCUUUUCCAGGAAUCACCCACUGAUGGAUCACAAGUUCCUUCUGGAGAAAAGCGAGAGGGUGAGUCAGCUCAAACCUACAUGUCUGCCCCCAUAAUGUGCCUUUAGACACCUUAGAAAAUGACAAAAAAAAUCAUAUUUUUUUAUGUUCACACAAAUCCGAAACGAUUAAAGCAUCAUUAUUUAUCUCACUGCUCUUUGCCAUUGGAUUUUUGCUGUGUGCGUGUUUUUAUUUAUUUCUUACAUUUCUUAAAUGCCCAGAUAAAUCUACCCUGAUUUAUUUGAUAUUGACAAAUGUUCUACAUAAAUAUUCUGCGGUUGGUGUUUUUGUAAUGAUUUAAGUGACCAUUGUGCUGUUGUUGCUGUUAGAAAUACUAAGGUUCCUAAGACAAACCCACUUUUUAUUCGUAAGAGAAAUUUGAAGUGUUUUAAUGAGCAGGCUUUUCUCCAUGAUUUGUUUUAUUUGGACUGGAGUUAGAUUGAGUUUAUUCCUGAUGUGGAAACUGCCUGGAAAUUCUUUCAUUAUGGUUUUUCCCAAAUAGUAAACAAACAUGACCCAUUCUGCAGGUUCGGGGUUAAAGGGCAGUAUAAUCCAUGGUUUUCUUCUGAGCUGUCUUGUAUUAUUCACAACCGUAAUCUAGCCUGGGCUAAAGCAAGGAAAUAAUGUUCUGAUGCUGAUUGGCUUAUUUUUAGGCAGUUACGAAACAAGUGUUAUUUUCUUCUCAGGA